AUUGAACGCUGGCGGCAGGCCUAACACAUGCAAGUCGAGCGGAUGAAGGGAGCUUGCUCCUGGAUUCAGCGGCGGACGGGUGAGUAAUGCCUAGGAAUCUGCCUGGUAGUGGGGGAUAACGUCCGGAAACGGGCGCUAAUACCGCAUACGUCCUGAGGGAGAAAGUGGGGGAUCUUCGGACCUCACGCUAUCAGAUGAGCCUAGGUCGGAUUAGCUAGUUGGUGGGGUAAAGGCCUACCAAGGCGACGAUCCGUAACUGGUCUGAGAGGAUGAUCAGUCACACUGGAACUUAGACACGGUCCAGACUCCUACGGGAGGCAGCAGUGGGGAAUAUUGGACCAUGGGCGAAAGCCUGAUCCAGCCAUGCCGCGUGUGUUAAGAAGGGCUUCCGAUUGUAAAGCACUUUAAGUUGGGAGGAAGGGCAGUAAGUUAAUACCUUGCUGUUUUGACGUUACCAACAGAAUAAGCACCGGCUAACUUCGUG
rnacentral:rRNA from 1 species